AACGAACGCUGGCGGCAUGCCUAACACAUGCAAGUCGAACGAGACCUUCGGGUCUAGUGGCGCACGGGUUCGUAACGCGUUGGAACCUGCCCUUAGGUUCGGAAUAACUCCCCGAAAGGGGUGCUAAUACCGGAUAAUGUCUUCGGACCAAAGAUUUAUCGCCUUUGGAUGGGCCCGCGUUGGAUUAGCUAGUUGGUAGUGUAAAAGCCUACCAAGGCGACGAUCCAUAGCUGGUCUGAGAGGAUGAUCAUCCACACUGGGACUGAGACACGGCCCAGACUCCUACGGGAGGCAGCAGUGGGGAAUAUUGGAAAAUGGGCGAAAGCCUGAUCCAGCAAUGCCGCGUGAGUGAUGAAGGCCUUAGGGUUGUAAAGCUCUUUUACCCGGGAUGAUAAUGACAGUACCGGGAGAAUAAGCUCCGGCUAACUCCGUG
rnacentral:rRNA from 1 species